rnacentral:lncRNA from 13 species
UAAAAAGUGGCCAAGGACAGUUUUUGUAAUUUUUCUCCAGGGAAGGGUGAAUGCAAGCUGACUUUAUUUUUUAGUGUUGCAUGAGUUGAAAUAGGCCUCUGAGUUGGAUCAGAGUGCAACUGUCAACAGGAGAUGAGUCUGACGACAUGCACAGACAAGCUGAUGCUACUGAAUGCCUCUGGCGGGAUUUUUUCCCCUGGAACUUUUGUCUCCACUCUCCUAAUAAUAAUAAUGGCCAGAACAGUGCAAAUGGAAUGGCAUCAAACACCUGGAAACCAUGUGUUUAAUGUAUUUGAUACCAUUCCACUGAUUCCGCUCCAGUCAUUGUCUGGAGCCCGUUCUCCCCAAUUAAGAGAGCUGUUCCAAUGCACACAUGGGUCCUCGCUACAUAUGAACAGCGCAAUGGGACCUGUGGAACACCCUGAGUCAACGGCCAUCCCUCGUCCCUCAUACACAGAAGACCCCCAGGCCAGAGGCAGUGGCAUCAUUCCAGGUUUCAGUUGGAACAUGCUCAAUGUUUGUUUCCAUGGUGGAAAAGAAAAACACUUAAUCAGACACGUGUCAGGUGGCCAGACCCAGGCAGGCCAGAGGUCUGGAAGACAGCGUGACAUUCCGCUAGCCACGGAGCCAUUGCAGCUGCAGUAUUCAUUGGUUUCGUAUUGGGUCUCUAUGCAGUUCUGUGGAAGUGUAUGGUCUCACCACCCCAAAGGUAAGGAACAAGAAACCAAUCCAAACAGCAUUCUCAUGUGACAUUGGUUUGAAAAGGAAUACUUGCCCAGGCUUGAUAGGAUGUGACAUCACAAUCUUAUCUCCAGUGGGUCAGGUUUUGGAUCUAGUCCGACAUUGCCACCAUAAUAAUCUUUAUUUCUCAAAUAGUAACCAGUAAUGUCAGUUUAUUUGAAGUGAACUCUAAUUACUCUCUGAGGUAAUCAUCUCUGUUUAAACACAGAAUUGUUUAUUUACUUAUUUGGAUACCAUAGUUUAAGAUUAAAGUAGAUCAUUUUACCCGAAAUGACAUUAUGUAUAAUCAUUUUUUUUUUCAAUCACAAGUGAUUCAGAAAUGAUUUAACAUUUUAUAUUUAACCUAUAGCGCAUUAUGAGUUAGUCACUAAGUAACAGCUGAACACUCAACAUAGGAAGAAGAGGAGGGUGAGGGUUCGAGACAAGAGGAGCCAACUAUGCUGACUGACAAUCAGGAUCUCAUCUAGGCCAUCUGGCCAGAGGAUCCAACUCCUGCAUCAAACCCCGGCCAGUCAAACGGACCCGAAAAGAUCCACUCAUACUGACUUGAGUCUCUCAUCAGGAUGUUCCUGGACAUCAGAGAGGAAAUGGAGAUUCAGAAACAUUUGCAUAGAGCUAGGGGAUGGCAUAAUUAUGGAUCUAGCUUAUCAUGGUCAGAGGAUGGACCGGAAUCUAAGGAUCCGGUCAAAUGGAUCUAAAAGGAUCUUCUAAAUUGCCUUAAGAGGAUCCACUCAAAUGGCUAAAGGAUCCAACUGAAGUGUGUCAGAGAGCAUGAACAAACAAUCUAAAUCAGUUAAGCUGGGGUCUGCAGACCCAUCAAACUUGUAAACAUUUUUGUAUGUAAAAAAAUAACAGGUCAAACACAUUUUUGCCAAGAGAUCUGUUGAAUUAGUUUAGAGUGUAAAUACAAUAAAAUGUCAUAUUAUUAAUAUACAAUUUAUGUUCUUAAACCCUGGACAACGUGGGCCUGGGAGGCUCACAGGGAUAUUGGCAUCUACAGUACUCACCAAUUAUACAUUUUUCAACUCAAUAACCCAUAGUGUGUGUGUAUAUAUUUUAAACUGCAGUUUUCUUUCUGUCUCAUGGGAAAAUGUGUAGAAUUGCAGAAUAUUAGUGCUAAAGCCGCAACAACACAAACUCUUUGCCCCAUGACAAAAUAUGUCAAGAGGCUGGCCUUUUAAAAUGUUCCUCCCCAGGACCGAGCCUUGGUUCGUCCGGCCAUACACUGAAGUCAUAGUAAAACACCGUGUAUGCUAUUUUUCUCACUCGAGUUGUUCUGAUUGAGUGGGUCCCUUUAUAUAUUUGCUAUCACAAAAGAGGUGCCGGACCCCAAUACUUUGAGAGAGCCUGAUCUAAAUGAUUCUAGGAUCCACUGUAUGCCACAGUGCUAUGCCUGCGUGAGAUGCUGACUUUAACUGAAGCGUAGCUAUACUGUUGUCUGCAGGUCACUGACAGUUGACAGUGAAAUCUGUACUACUGAGGAAGGAGGCAGCACAGGUCACUGUUCUUCCUAUCGGUCAACAAGCCUACUGGCCUGGCAAACAUGUGGGUAUGUUUUUUUUUUUUCUGUUUGGGUGAAAGUGUGUGUAGAUUUUGAUUAGGGUUGACUACAUGUGUUUGAAAGGAAAGUGAUAAUGAAUGGGAAAUUUGCUAAUACUUUAUAUAUUUGGUUGUGCAUGUGAUAUGAUGCUUUAGGUGAAUGAUUGAGCUGGAGUUAAUGGCCUUAUGAUAUCCAGGUUUUGUCAUGUUACUUUUCCUCAGGAUGUGACUUACUGUUCCUUUCAUUAAACUGUGAUUUGUGUUCUUGCACUUUUACUGAGUUUUCCCUUUUUUACUUUUAUCAGUUAAAUCUGAAUUUACACCCGAGUUACUACUUAGUGUUGGGAGGAAUGUACAUUCACUGAUUAACGAACAAUGCAAAUUAUGCAACAGAACACUAGGAAAGGAGAGGUUUAAAAUGAGCUCAAAAUUGUCUCUGUCAAAUACUAACAAAUUAUUGUGUUAGUGGGAGGUCUUGAAGUCAUACAAAAUUAGAUGAUUCUAAGAAAUUCAAGUCUUAAGUCCUUUGGGUUUUAUGUAACUAAUAAACUUGUAAAAUGUUCAAACUGUCCUGUCGUAAUUUUAAUGUAGCCUAGCCCACGACCACAAAAAGGUCUAUAUUUGAUCUCUGCUGUGUUUAGUGCACGGGGUGAGAGGUUCCUGCAGGGCAGUGGGGGAUUCAUCAUGGUCUGGUGUGGAACUUAGUGGUGUGGUGCUCUUGUUGCUCCCUCCUGUCCAUCCAGACUCCGCUUCUGAAACAGACUAAAAGAACAGGAAAAGCUCUAUCCUGGCCAGGCACAUGCUUACCUAGGGAUGACACACACCCUCUUUAGGUGAGAUUAAGAUUAUCUGCAGAGAAGACCAUGAAUGCAUCCCGCCUACUAAAGUGUCCCUCAGCAUCCAGGAAGUGUUGUGGGUUUAAGAUGUCUGGUGUCUCCCAUUCAGCCUGAUCAAACAGCACCGAGUUCAGGGUAAGCAUCAACGCUGUGCUCUAGAAGCAACAACUAUAUGAACAGUAACACACAACUGCCCUACACACAACACUGAGAACACACACACCUUUGGUAUGAGGUACCAUCCAGCAUAGUGCCUCUGUAGGCCAUCCAGGGUGCGUUGAGAGAUCUAAUGAUGGCAUCUUCCGUGUAGGGAAUACUGGCUCUGGUAGACAUGUUAGACAGUGUUGGGCUGGCAGGAGGGGUCCAUCUAAACUGGACCUUGUGUCAGUGUGUCACAACAGAGGGUUUAACACCAAUCGUCAACAGAUCCAAUAAUUGUUAACAUUAACUCAUCUUUCAUGAAGGAGGCACAUACUAGUUUUAAAAUGCCUUUCCAUGUUGUCACAGGCUCACCCUGUAUGCGUGUGUGAUUAUGCAGAGCAGGGUAGUGGAGGUGGUCUCAGAGC